UGAACCUAAGACAAGUCCGUUUGUGUUGCGUGGCGUGAUUCGUGUGAAACACCUUCGAGUCUUCGAUCUUCUUGGGCGCCGCCAACGCGCCGGCGCCCUCCGCCCCUGCGCCUCAGCCUGGUACCGUGCCUGUGCCGUUCUGGUCCUCCGCCCUCCGCAUCUGCCUGGUACCGUGCUAGUGCCGCCUUCGCAUCCGUCCUCCGCCUGGGUCUCCGCCCUCCGCGGCUCCGCCUUGCGACUUUACCCUGCACGGCCCGCCGCCGGCCGGUCGCCCGUCCGGAGCCACUGACCCGAGUUUCCGUCCAGCACUCCAGCGACCAGCGCCUGUUCGUCCAGAGUACCAACAGAUCUCGUCAAGAGAGUUUGGCCCGAGGACUUUUCUUGCAUAUCCAUAGACAAGCUCAGCUUCAUACACAGUGAACCAAACAAGAGAAAAAGCAAGAAGAGCCUGGCUGCGUCCAUACGGUCUACAACCAAAUACAUCGUCGCUCAUAAAGCCUAGUUGUCCUAUAUGCGGGCAACCAAUCACGUCCAAGGUCUGAAGGAUGAGGAAAGGACUGCAUCCUCAGAUGCAAUGGAUUUCAUAUGUGACGCAGAGUGGUAGGCUGAUCAAUAUCAUGAUGACCAAGGUGAAUCAUACUGGCAAAGUGUACCACAUGAGGGCCAAGCGGCAAAUGGCUCAAAGCCUCGGCCAGAUUGCGAAGUUCAAACGUCGAUAUGAGCAGGAAGCAGAGAAAAGCAAAGACAAGUAGGAUGGUGUUGGGAAGGAGGUGUAGCCUCUGUGGUCUUAGUCAGUUCUGUUGACUGCGAAGUUUUCAGCUAAGGAUCUUCGAUUGAAUGAUUUUAUUUUAGAUCACAUCAUCUUUUGCUCCACUUCAUAAUUGUGUUGUACCCCAUCUUGAGCAAACACUUUGGCACUUGUUGCACCUUAAAGCCCCAAGAAGAUAGUCUAUGGAUCGCCUUUGCUCUGACGUUCGAGUUUUAUGGUUUAUAUUUCUCCAUGUUAUUAUGUUUGAUGAUAUUGUUUUA